CUGAGCCUUAACCCAGUUUC
rnacentral:snRNA from 1 species